rnacentral:rRNA from 1 species
CACGUAGGGGGGCGAGCGUUGUCCGGAAUCAUUGGGCGUAAAGAGCUCGUAGGCGGCUCAGUAAGUCGGGUGUGAAACCCCCAGGCUCAACCUGGGGACGCCACCCGAUACUGCUGUGGCUAGAGUCCAGUAGGGGAGUGUGGAAUUCCCGGUGUAGCGGUGAAAUGCGCAGAUAUCAGGAGGAACACCGGUGGCGAAGGCGGGUCUCUGGGCCGAUACUGACGCUGAGGAGCGAAAGCGUGGGGAGCGAACAGG